rnacentral:misc_RNA from 1 species
UCUGUUUGAAAAGCUGCUGAGUAUGAUGAAUCAUCGUCGGAUAUCCUCUGAAGGGUCCGCCUUGAGGAAUCCAUUUUGUAGCGAAAUGAACCAAUUCGGAAUAUCCAUUCACCUGGGUGCAGAUUUAUACUAUGAACUGACUUACGAGAAGAAAUAUUUCUGUUCUUUGUCCCAGAAACAACACAUGAUGCACCUCUCUUUUCUCUUUUCUUCUUCUCUGCUUCAGCAACUGCCAGGGUAGCU